CAGCCACAAGGAGAGGCUGCUGGGUGCUGCUGCUGCUGCUAAGUCGCUUCAGUCGUGUCCGACUCCGUGCGACCCCAUAGACGGCAGCCCACCAGGCUCCCCUGUCGCUGGGAUUCUCCAGGCAAGAACACUGGAAUGGGUUGCCAUUUCCUUCUCCAACGUGUGAAAGUGAAAAGUGAAAGUGAAGUCGCUCAGUCGUGUCCGACUCUUAGCGACCCCAUGGACUACAGCCUACCAGGCUCCUCCGUCCAUGGGAUUUUCCAGGCAAGAUCUCUCCCCAUGUCUGGUACUGGACCGAGCAUCAGUCAAGCCAACAGGCAGCCAUGAUCUGCACUGAAAUUAAGGAAACACGCAGUCAUCUGAUAGAUUUCUUGGGAGCUUUGCAAAUCUUCUUCUCCAGUACAUCUGACAGCUUCCCCAGUUAACCUUGCGUGCUGUUUGGAGUGCUGUGGUCUUUACUCUUCUCCUGAUAGUGGGAAGCUCUGCCCUUAUGACAGGGCUAUCCCAUCCCAUUGUUUCCCCACCCUAACACCAACAAUUGCAGGGGACUGCACUGGGUUUGCUGUUCUCUGGUUUGGAUACAAUUUAGAAUUGUUGCCACUCACCAGCCCUCUUUUAAUGGUGCCCCUCAGCUCAAUAUCCUCCAUUCAGGCAACCUGAGUGGUAAAUAACACAGCAGCCCAUGUAAUCCCACCCUGAGAUCUAAAGCUAUUGCUUGCCUGCAACUGUUACAUAAAAUAAAUGGGUGUUGAAUAAUUUGAAAGAGUGAAUGUGGAUAUUAUUCACUCAACCAGUAAUUAUUGAGUACCUAAUAUAUUACACAGUGUAGUAAAUAGCAGAGACAUCAUUUUGCUGACAAAGAUCCAUACAGUCAAAACUAUGGUUUUUCCAGUAGUCAUGUACUGAUGUGAGUAGAGGACCAUAAAGAAGGCUGAGCACUGAAGAACUGAUGUUUUCAAAUUGUGGUGAUCUUGUUGAGAGUCCCUUGGACUGCAAGUAGAUCAAACCAGUCAAUCCUAAAUGAAAUCAACCCUAAAUAUUCAUUGGAAGGACUAUUGCUAAAGCUCUAAUACUCUGGCUACCUGAGGCGAAGAGCUGACUUACUGGAAAAGACCCUGGUGCAGGGAAAGAUUGAAGGCAGAAGGAGAAGCAGGUGGCAGAGGAUGAGGUGGUUAGACAGCAUCACCAACUCAGUGGACAUGAGUUUGAGCAAACUCCAGGCGAUAGUGGAGGACAGAGGAGCCUGGCAUGCGACAGUCCAUGAGGUCACAAGAGUUGGACACAACUUAGCAACAACAGUGGCUCAGAUGGUAAAGAAUCUGCCUGCAGUGCAGGAGACCUGGGUUCAACCCCUGGGUUAGGAAGAACCCCUGGAGAAAGGAAUGGCUACCCACUCCAGUAUUCUGGCCUGGAAAAUUCCAUGGACUGUAUAGUCCAGGGGGUCACAAAGAGUCGGACACGACUGAGUGACUUUCACUGAAACUAGCAACAACAACAACCUAAUCCAUACGAUACCAGAUCCUUUUCUAGGUGCUGGAGACACAGCAGAAAGCAAGAUCAAAUUUCUGCCCUCAUGGAGUUUACAUUCUAGCAGGAAGGGCAUAAUAAACAAAUAAAUUAACAGAUAUAUAAUAUAAAGUCACUGCUUAAGAGUUAAGUGCUGUGAAAACACAAGAAGCAGGAGAAGGGAAUGGAAAAUGACAUCACUAAUCAACAUCUCUAAUCAUCAGGGAAAUACAAAUCAAAACGUCAAUGAAUUAUCACCCACAUUGUCAGAAUGGCUAUUAUCAAAAAGACAAGAUAUAACGGGUAUUGGCGACAAUGUGGAAAAGGGAACUCUCGUGUACUGCGCGAUGUCCAUGUGUAGAGUCUUCUCUUGUGUUGUUGGAAGAGGGUGUUUGCUAUGACCAGUGCAUUUCCUUGGCAAAACUCUAUUAGUCUUUGCCCUGCUUCAUUCCACAUUCCAAGGCCAAAUUUGCCUGCUACUCCAGGUGUUUCGUGACUUCCUACUUUUGCAUUCCAGUCCCCUAUAAUGAAAAGGACAUCCUUUUGGGGGUGUUAGUUCUAAAAGGUCUUGUAGGUCUUCAUAGAACCGUUCAACUUCAGCUUCUUCAGCGUUACUGGUUGGGGUACAGACUUGGAUUACUGUGAUAUUGAAUGGUUUGCCUUGGAAACGAAGAGAGGUCAUUAUGUCGUUUUUGACAUUGCAUCCAAGUAGUGCAUUUUGGACUCUUUUGUUGACCAUGAUGGCUACUCCAUUUCUUUUAAGGGAUUCCUGUCUGCAGUAGUAGAUAUAAUGGUCAUCUGAGUUAAAUUCACCCAUUCCAGUCCAUUUUAGUUCUCUGAUACCUAGAAUGUCGACAUUCACUCUUGCCAUCUCCUGUUUGAUCACUUCCAAUUUGCCUCGAUUCAUGGAUCUAACAUUCCAGGUUCCUAUGCAAUAUUGCUCUUUACAGCAUCGGACCUUGCUUCUAUCACCAGUCGCAUCCACAACGGGGUAUUGUUUUUGCUUUGGCUCCCUCCCUUCAUUCUUCCUGGAGUUAUUUCUCCACUGAUCUCCAGUAGCAUAUUGGGCACCUACCAACCUGGGGAGUUCCUCUUUCAGUAUCCUAUCAUUUUGCCUUUUCAUACUGUUCAUGGGGUUCUCAAGGCAAGAAUACUCAAGUGGUUUGCCAUUCCUUUCUCCAGUGGACCACAUUCUGUCAGACCUCUCCACCAUGCCCACCGGUCUUGGGUUGCCCCACAGGGCAUGGCUUAGUUUCAUUGAGUUAGACAAGGCUGUGGUCCUAGUGUGAUU
ensembl:lncRNA